rnacentral:rRNA from 1 species
UACGAAGGGGGCUAGCGUUGUUCGGAAUUACUGGGCGUAAAGCGCGUGUAGGCGGGUCUUUAAGUCAGGGGUGAAAUGCCAAGGCUCAACCUUGGAACUGCCUUUGAUACUGGAGAUCUUGAGUCCGGGAGAGGUGAGUGGAAUUGCGAGUGUAGAGGUGAAAUCGUAGAUAUUCGCAAGAACACCAGUGGCGAAGGCGGCUCACUGGCCCGGAACUGACGCUGAGACGCGAAAGCGUGGGGAGCAAACAGG